rnacentral:rRNA from 1 species
AUUGAACGCUGGCGGCAUGCCUUACACAUGCAAGUCGAACGGCAGCACGGGUGCUUGCACCUGGUGGCGAGUGGCGAACGGGUGAGUAAUACAUCGGAACGUACCUUAUCGUGGGGGAUAACGCAGCGAAAGCUGUGCUAAUACCGCAUACGCCCUGAGGGGGAAAGCGGGGGAUCGAAAGACCUCGCGCGAUUAGAGCGGCCGAUGCCUGAUUAGCUUGUUGGUGGGGUAAAAGCCCACCAAGGCGACGAACAGUAGCUGGUCUGAGAGGACGACCAGCCACACGGGGACUGAGACACGGCCAAGACUCCUACGGGAGGCAGCAGUGGGGAAUUUUGGACAAUGGGGGCAACCCUGAUCCAGCAAUGCCGCGUGAGUGAAGAAGGCCUUCGGGUUGUAAAGCUCUUUUGUCAGGGAAGAAACACCGGCUCUAACACAGUCCGGGAAUGACGGUACCUGAAGAAUAAGCACCGGCUAACUACGUGCCAGCCGCCGCGGUAA